UGGGGUGUGGCCAAGCGGUAAGGCAACGGACUUUGACUCCGUCAUUCGUUGGUUCGAAUCCAGCCACCCCAG
rnacentral:tRNA from 1 species